rnacentral:tRNA from 1 species
GCCUGGGUGGCUCAGUCGGUUGAGCGUCUGACUUUGGCUCAGGUCAUGAUCUCGUGGUCUGUGAGUUCGAGCCCCGUGUCGGGCU